rnacentral:rRNA from 1 species
UAUGUGAUCGUCUCUCGCAUAUCAAUAAGCGGAGGAAAAGAAACUAACAAGGAUUCCCCUAGUAACGGCGAGUGAAGCGGGAAGAGCUCAAAUUUGAAAUCUUAAAGGGUUUCCCUUUACGAAUUGUAGUUUAAAGAAGUGUUUUCUGUUGAGGUUUUGGUAAAAGUUCUUUGGAAUAGGACAUCAUAGAGGGUGAGAAUCCCGUAUUUGACCUUUACUUUCAACUUUGUGAUACACUUUCAAAGAGUCGGAUUGUUUGGGAAUGCAGUCCAAAAUGGGUGGUAAAUUUCAUCUAAAGCUAAAUAUUGGCGAGAGACCGAUAGCGAACAAGUACCGUGAGGGAAAGAUGAAAAGAACUUUGAAAAGAGAGUUAAACAGUACGUGAAAUUGUCAAAAGGGAAGCGUUUGACACCAGUGUUGUUUUUCUGAAAAUCAAUUAAAGAACUGUUUAUGCUAAGUUGUUUAGACUUUAUCAGCUAACUGUUUAGUUUUGAGCUUUUCUUUAAUGCACUUUUCAGUUAACAAGUCAACAUCAAUUUCUUUUGCUGUAAAAAAGCUUGAGGAAGGUGGCUUGAGAUUCGUCUUAAGUGUUUAUAGCCUCUUGCCUAUGCAGUCGGAGAGAUUGAGGUCUGCAGCGUAGAUCCUUCGGGGCUAAAUGCAUUUGUGCUAAGUUAUAGCAUUUUAUAGACAACUUGUUGACUAUGAUUUGUCUUGUAGCUUACUCGCUUAUGUUAUUUUACCUACGCUUAGGAUGUUGACACACGCGCGUGCUCG